GCGCUUCGUUUACACCGAAAAGUCAUCUGUUAAACCCGGAUCGUUUUGA
rnacentral:tRNA from 1 species